rnacentral:rRNA from 1 species
CUGAGUAACACGUAGGAACCUAUCCUAGGGUGGAGAAUAGCUCAUUGAAAGUGGGGUAAUACUCCAUAGUAUCGCCUUAAUGGCGAUUAAAGGGCAUAACUGCCCGCCAAAGGAGGGGCCUGCGGCUUAUCAGGUAGUUGGUGGGGUAAUGGCCUACCAAGCCAAUGACGAGUAGCUGGUCUGGGAGGACGGACAGCCAGAGAGGGACUGAGACACGGCCCUCACGACUACGGUCGGCAGCAACCAGGAAUAUUGCGCAAUGGGCGAAAGCCUGACGCAGCGACACCGCGUGCGGGAAGAAGGCCUUAGGGUUGUAAACCGCUGUGGUAGGGGAAGAAUAAAAUGACGGUACCCUACUAGAAAGUGGCUGCUAACUACGUGCCAAAAGCCUCGGUCAUGCGUAGGCCACAAGCGUUAUCCGAUUUUAUUGGGCGCAAAGGGACGCGUAAGCGGUUAGGUAAGUCAUGUCUAAAAUUCUCCCGCUUAACGGGAGCUUCGGCAUGAUACUACCUUACUAGAGUUUUUCUCAGGAAAGCGGAACGUACUUUGUAGCGGUAAAAUGCGUUGAUAAAGUACGGAACACCAACGGCGAAAGGCAGCUUUCUGGAGAUUUACUGACGCUGAGGCUCGAAAGCUAGGGUAGCGAAAGGGAUUAGAGACCCCUGUAGUCCUAGCCCUAAACGAAUGUCUGCUAGUUCUGCUUAGUCCGGCUUUGUCGAGACUGGGUGGGGCGUAAGUUAACACGUUAAGCAGACCGCCUGGGAACUACGAUCGCAAGAUUAAAACUCAAAUGAAUAGGCGGGGACCUACACAACGAGUGGAACAUGUGGCUCAAUUCGACACAAACCGAAGAACCUUACCAAGGCUUGACAUACUAUUGCACGUCCGCUGAAAGGCGGAAAGCCUUAGAGGGUAUAGUACAGCUGGUGCAUGGCUGUCGUCAGCUCGUUCCGUGAGGAGUGCCCUUAAGUGGGACAACGAGCGCAACCCCUAUUUUGUGUUAUAAGUAUCACAAGAGACGGUCCCGAUAGUCAUCGGGAAGGAAGGAGGGGCAGACGUCAAGUCAUCAUGUCGCUUAUGCCUUGGGCUGCACACAUGUUACAAUGAGUAGUACAACGGGUCUUGCAACUUUGUAAAAAGAAGCGAAUCUCUUAAAACUACUCUCAGUGGGGAUUGAGGUCUGAAACCCGACCUCAUGAACGCGGAAUUCGUAGUAAUCGCAGGUCAUCUAUACUGCGGUGAAUACGUUCUUGGGUCUUGCACUCACCGCCCGUCAAGCCACCAAAGUUGGAGGUGCCUAA